GUCUCUUUGCAGACAUCUGAUAAAAUUGGAAUGAUACAGAGAAGAUUAACAUGGCCCUGCAUAAGGAUGACACACACACAUCUAAUCUAGAAAUGGUCCAAUUUUUU
rnacentral:snRNA from 1 species